UGCGUAGGUGGUUUGUUAAGUUGGAUGUGAAAGCCCCGGGCUCAACCUGGGAACUGCAUCCAAAACUGGCAAGCUAGAGUACGGUAGAGGGUGGUGGAAUUUCCUGUGUAGCGGUGAAAUGCGUAGAUAUAGGAAGGAACACCAGUGGCGAAGGCGACCACCUGGACUGAUACUGACACUGAGGUGCGAAAGCGUGGGGAGCAAACA
rnacentral:rRNA from 1 species